AUAGGAGGUCCCGCCUGCCCUGUGACCAAAAGUUUAACGGCCGCGGUAUUUUAACCGUGCAAAGGUAGCGCAAUCAAUUGUCUUUUAAAUGAAGACCUGUAUGAAUGGCAUAACGAGGGUUUAACUGUCUCUUUUUUCAGGUCAAUGAAACUGAUCUGUCCGUGCAGAAGCGGACAUAUUAACACAAGACGAGAAGACCCUAUGGAGCUUUAGACGCCCACCAACCGCGAAAAGCAGCCUACCUAAACAGAUGCUCUAAACAACGCGGUCCUGGUACAAACGUCUUCGGUUGGGGCGACCGCGGAGGAGAACAAAGCCUCCGAGAGGAAUGGGAACAAACCCUAAAACCAAGAGCCACAGCUCUAAGUCACAAAAAAUUUGACCGACAAUGAUCCGGCUUACUGCCGAUCAACGGACCAAGUUACCCUAGGGAUAACAGCGCAAUCCCCUCCCAGAGUCCAUAUCGACGAGGGGGUUUACGACCUCGAUGUUGGAUCAGGACAUCCUAAUGGUGCAGCCGCUAUUAAGGGUUCGUUUGUUCAACGAUUAAAGUCCUACGUGAUCUGAGU
rnacentral:rRNA from 1 species